rnacentral:rRNA from 1 species
AUACGAAGGGUGCGAGCGUUAAUCGGAAUUACUGGGCGUAAAGCGUCGCGUAGGUGGUUUGGUAAGCGAUCUGUGAAAGCCCCGGGCUUAACCUGGGAAUUGCAGGUCGAACUGCCAGGCUAGAGUAUGGUAGAGGGGUGUGGAAUUUCCUGUGUAGCGGUGAAAUGCGUAGAUAUAGGAAGGAACAUCAGUGGCGAAGGCGACACCCUGGACCGAUACUGACACUGAGGCACGAAAGCGUGGGGAGC